CGUAACGACUCUCGGCAACGGAUAUCUCGGCUCUCGCAUCGAUGAAGAACGUAGCGAAAUGCGAUACUUGGUGUGAAUUGCAGAAUCCCGUGAACCAUCGAGUCUUUGAACGCAAGUUGCGCCCGAAGCCUUCCGGUCGAGGGCACGUCUGCCUGGGCGUCAUGC
rnacentral:rRNA from 1 species